UAUUACAAUGAAGAGUUUGAUCCUGGCUCAGGAUGAACGCUAGCUACAGGCUUAACACAUGCAAGUCGAGGGGCAGCAUGGUCUUAGCUUGCUAAGGCCGAUGGCGACCGGCGCACGGGUGAGUAACACGUAUCCAACCUGCCGUCUACUCUUGGACAGCCUUCUGAAAGGAAGAUUAAUACAAGAUGGCAUCAUGAGUCCGCAUGUUCACAUGAUUAAAGGUAUUCCGGUAGACGAUGGGGAUGCGUUCCAUUAGAUAGUAGGCGGGGUAACGGCCCACCUAGUCUUCGAUGGAUAGGGGUUCUGAGAGGAAGGUCCCCCACAUUGGAACUGAGACACGGUCCAAACUCCUACGGGAGGCAGCAGUGAGGAAUAUUGGUCAAUGGGCGAGAGCCUGAACCAGCCAAGUAGCGUGAAGGAUGACUGCCCUAUGGGUUGUAAACUUCUUUUAUAAAGGAAUAAAGUCGGGUAUGGAUACCCGUUUGCAUGUACUUUAUGAAUAAGGAUCGGCUAACUCCGUGCCAGCAGCCGCGGUAAUACGGAGGAUCCGAGCGUUAUCCGGAUUUAUUGGGUUUAAAGGGAGCGUAGAUGGAUGUUUAAGUCAGUUGUGAAAGUUUGCGGCUCAACCGUAAAAUUGCAGUUGAUACUGGAUAUCUUGAGUGCAGUUGAGGCAGGCGGAAUUCGUGGUGUAGCGGUGAAAUGCUUAGAUAUCACGAAGAACUCCGAUUGCGAAGGCAGCCUGCUAAGCUGCAACUGACAUUGAGGCUCGAAAGUGUGGGUAUCAAACAGGAUUAGAUACCCUGGUAGUCCACACGGUAAACGAUGAAUACUCGCUGUUUGCGAUAUACUGCAAGCGGCCAAGCGAAAGCGUUAAGUAUUCCACCUGGGGAGUACGCCGGCAACGGUGAAACUCAAAGNGAAAGCCGUAAGCCGCAAGGCAUCUGUGAAGGUGCUGCAUGGUUGUCGUCAGCUCGUGCCGUGAGGUGUCGGCUUAAGUGCCAUAACGAGCGCAACCCUUGUUGUCAGUUACUAACAGGUUCCGCUGAGGACUCUGACAAGACUGCCAUCGUAAGAUGUGAGGAAGGUGGGGAUGACGUCAAAUCAGCACGGCCCUUACGUCCGGGGCUACACACGUGUUACAAUGGGGGGUACAGAGGGCCGCUACCACGCGAGUGGAUGCCAAUCCCCAAAACCUCUCUCAGUUCGGACUGGAGUCUGCAACCCGACUCCACGAAGCUGGAUUCGCUAGUAAUCGCGCAUCAGCCACGGCGCGGUGAAUACGUUCCCGGGCCUUGUACACACCGCCCGUCAAGCCAUGGGAGCCGGGGGUACCUGAAGUGCGUAACCGCGAGGAGCGCCCUAGGGUAAAACUGGUGACUGGGGCUAAGUCGUAACAA
rnacentral:rRNA from 1 species